rnacentral:rRNA from 1 species
AGCGAACGCUGGCGGCAGGCUUAACACAUGCAAGUCGAGCGGGCACCUUCGGGUGUCAGCGGCAGACGGGUGAGUAACACGUGGGAACGUACCCUUCGGUUCGGAAUAACGCUGGGAAACUAGCGCUAAUACCGGAUACGCCCUUAUGGGGAAAGGUUUACUGCCGAAGGAUCGGCCCGCGUCUGAUUAGCUAGUUGGUGGGGUAACGGCCUACCAAGGCGACGAUCAGUAGCUGGUCUGAGAGGAUGAUCAGCCACACUGGGACUGAGACACGGCCCAGAAUCCUACGGGAGGCAGCCGUGGGGAAUAUUGGACAAUGGGCGCAAGCCUGAUCCCGCCAUGCCGCGUGAGUGAUGAAGGCCUUAGGGUUGUAAAGCUCUUUUGUCCGGGACGAUAAUGACGGUACCGGAAGAAUAAGCCCCGGCUAACUUCGUG